AUACGGAGGGGGCUAGCGUUGUUCGGAAUUACUGGGCGUAAAGCGCACGUAGGCGGAUUAAAAAGUUAGAGGUGAAAUCCCAGGGCUUAACCCUGGAACUGCCUUUAAAACUAGUAGUCUAGAGUUCGAGAGAGGUGAGUGGAAUUCUAAGUGUAGAGGUGAAAUUCGUAGAUAUUUGGAGGAACACCAGUGGCGAAGGCGGCUCACUGGCUCGAUACUGACGCUGAGGUGCGAAAGCGUGGGGAGCAAACAGGAUUAGAAACCCUGGUAGUCC
rnacentral:rRNA from 1 species